AGUGAACGCUGGCGGCAGGCCUAACACAUGCAAGUCGAACGGCAGCACAGUAAGAGCUUGCUCUUACGGGUGGCGAGUGGCGGACGGGUGAGGAAUACAUCGGAAUCUACUUUUUCGUGGGGGAUAACGUAGGGAAACUUACGCUAAUACCGCAUACGACCUACGGGUGAAAGCAGGGGAUCUUCGGACCUUGCGCGAUUGAAUGAGCCGAUGUCGGAUUAGCUAGUUGGGGGGGUAACGGCCCACCAAGGCGACGAUCCGUAGCUGGUCUGAGAGGAUGAUCAGUCACACUGGAACUGAGACACGGUCCAGACUCCUACGGGAGGCAGCAGUGGGGAAUAUUGGACAAUGGGCGCAAGCCUGAUCCAGCCAUGCCGCGUGUGUGAAGAAGGCCUUCGGGUUGUAAAGCACUUUUGUUGGGGAGGAAGGGCAGUAGGUUAAUACCUCGCUGUUGUGACGGUACCAAAAGAAUAAGCACCGGCUAACUUCGUG
rnacentral:rRNA from 1 species